GUGGUAAUAAGGGGCUGCUCAUUUCUUCAACAACACAUAAGCUACCCUUCAACGCCUGCUGGAUACGCACAAAUUUGCCUCCACAAGCCAGAUCAGAUUCAUAUUCUUCCCUGAUACCGAAACCCUUCCGCCGUUCUCUGUGAAAGCUCCUCAAAAUGGGUAUUUCAUUUAGCAGUAAUAGAAGAAGGAACAACACUUAUUACCACCACCAUCCUCCACCUCCUCCACCUUACUAUUACCCCUCAGAACCCCUCUCUCUCCCUCCACAUCCGCCUCCACCUCCGCCGCCACGGCCCCAAAAUUUCUUCACUACGACAACAACUGCGGCAUCCCUACCGCCACCACCACCACCACCUCCUCCUCCUCCAAUUCAAUUCUACUACAGUUCUCAUCCCUACCAUACAGGCAGCUACGCGAACAGAUUCAAUUAUCCGCCUUAUUAUUGUGCUAACCAGCCUAAUUGGUGGCCUUCGAUUAGGCCUAAUGUGGGUACUGGGCAGCCGAUUGAGCCGGCUCCUUACAUUGAGCAUCAAAAUGCCAAGAAGGUCAGAAAUGACGUGAACGUGCAUAAGGAUACUUUAAAGCUUGAAAUUGAUGAGAACAACCCUGAUAAUUACUUGGUUUCUUUCGUUUUCGAUGCUUUGUUUGAUGGGAGCAUUACAAUUUUCUAUUUUGCAAAGGAAGAGGUCAACUGUAGGUUUGUUCCUAUAUUUCCAGAAGCCCAUUUGCCUGUCAGAAUCCCCUUCCAGAAAGGUCCUGGCCAGAAAUUUUAUCAGCCUUCAGGAACAGGCAUCGACUUGGGUUUCUUUGAGUUGGAUGAUCUUUCAAAACCAUCACCUGGAGAAGAUAUUUUUCCACUUGUAAUAGUUGCUGAAACAUGCUUGCCAGUUGAUUCAACAGAUGAACAUGUUGAUGAUUCUGCUCAAAACACAUCUGGCCACAUGCAGAUUACUCAAGCUGUUCUUGAGAAGAAAGAUAGUGGCACUUUUCAAGUAAGAGUAGUAAGGCAAAUUUUGUGGAUCGAUGGAGUUCGAUAUGAGCUGCGAGAGCUAUAUGGAAUUGGAAGCUCAGCAGCUGAAGGCUUCAAUGACUGUGACCUUGGGAAGGAAUGUGUGAUUUGCAUGACUGAACCUAAGGAUACUGCUGCGUUACCGUGCCGACACAUGUGUAUGUGCAGUGAGUGUGCAAAAGCGUUGAGGCUUCAAUCAAAUAAGUGCCCCAUAUGUCGUCAACCAAUUGAAGAACUUAUGGAGAUCAAGAUAAAUAAUGGUGAUCAAUAAGAAAUUCUUUGCUUCGCACCUAUUUGGAUUUAUGGUAAAGAAACUCCUUUUGUUUUACUGUAUCUUUGCCCUUAGAAUGUGUAUGCUAGUUAUUUUGUAUAUUUUAUUCCUGUAUUUUUUUUUUUAGAUGGCUAAUGACUCAAUAAUAUUUAUAUUGAUAAAUUGUCUUCUACAUAUUUAUCUUUGUACAAAAUCAUAAGAAACUUGAAAAACUAAUACAGGAAUAA
rnacentral:misc_RNA from 1 species